rnacentral:rRNA from 1 species
CAGUAGCCGCGGGAAUACGGAGGGUGCAAGCGUUAUCCGGAUUCACUGGGUUUAAAGGGUGUGUAGGCGGGUCAUUAAGUCAGCGGUGAAAUCUCUGAGCUCAACUCAGAAACUGCCAUUGAUACUAUUGAUCUUGAAUAUCGUUGAGGUAGGCGGAAUAUGUCAUGUAGCGGUGAAAUGCUUAGAUAUGACAUAGAACACCGAUUGCGAAGGCAGCUUGCUAAACGAUUAUUGACGCUGAGGCACGAAAGCGUGGGGAUCAAACAGGAUUAGAUACCCCAGUAGUCCCUGUCUCUUAUAC